CUUAUCCAGAGUGGCCGAGGGACGGGCCCUGUGACGCCACGGCAACCAGCAGCGCAGGCUGUGACGGUGCCAAUUCCCGGGCGCGCUGAGCGCGCCAAAGAUGAGG
rnacentral:ncRNA from 1 species